ACGCCACAUCAAGAGUUGGGGCGACGCCCAACGCCAACCUGCCGUUCCGGGCAAGGUGGCACUCCCCUUCGGGGGAGGAUGUGGCCGAGCCGGCAACGAAACGGAUCAAG
rnacentral:ncRNA from 2 species